rnacentral:rRNA from 1 species
UAAUACGGAGGGUGCAAGCGUUAUCCGGAUUCACUGGGUUUAAAGGGUGCGUAGGAGGGCAGGUAAGUCAGUGGUGAAAUCUCCGGGCUUAACUCGGAAACUGCCGUUGAUACUAUCUGCCUUGAAUACCGUGGAGGUGAGCGGAAUAUGUCAUGUAGCGGUGAAAUGCUUAGAUAUGACAUAGAACACCAAUUGCGAAGGCAGCUCACUACACGAAUAUUGACUCUGAGGCACGAAAGCGUGGGGAUCAAACAGGAUUAGAUACCCUGGUAGUCCACGCCCUAAACGAUGGAUACUCGACAUACGCAUACACAGUGUGUGUCUGAGCGAAAGCAUUAAGUAUCCCACCUGGGAAGUACGACCGCAAGGUU